rnacentral:misc_RNA from 1 species
UGCAGGUUUUUAUAUAUAAAAAAAUAAUAAAUACAGUUAAUACAUUACUAGUUUAAGUUUUCAUGUGACAAAUAAAACAUGUUCACUACUAAAAUAAUAUUCACCUGUUACCUAAGGAAAAAUAAUUGAACAAAAAUGAGCGUUCGACUUAGCGAGUUUAGAUGUUGAUUACAAAUGUAAUUUCAACUACCUAAAACCAACGCAGUUUUAUUAUAAAAUGCAUAUCUAACACAUAUAACAAAUAUGAGAGCUACUCACGCACCCAGCGUAUCACAUUAAUGCAUAAAUAUGAGAGUUAAUCCACUAUACAGCUCUUUCAAUUCAAAUCUCGCCAGCGAGCUCAACUCAAAUCGGACUUUCACUCAACUCAAAGCCGUGUCUUACCUCGACUUUCCAUAUCUAUAAGGAUAGGGUUCAACGAGAUUAGUUUGAGCCGCGACUACUGGUCCAAUUCACAUCCAUCAUUUACUAUAUAUAUAUAUAUAACGCACUUACGCACAACUCUAAAUUAUUCCCAAGGCGGCAAAUACAAAUAAUUAUCUAUAAAUAAAUAUGUAACAAUAAGAGUGCUUCUAAUUUAUUUAACUGAGCAUGAAACUAUAUUUAUAAAAUGCAUGAGCAUGCUAAAAAUAUAUACAUAAUAUUAAAAUUACAUAAUAUAAUCAAUAUCCAACUCACAAAGCUAAUGACCCUAUUGUAGUUAGUCUAGAUGGAAGAAGAAGACGGCUAGUCCCGAUCAUCUAUACCGAUACACUGACUUUUAUUAAUUGAUUGACAGAAUUAACAAAUUAAUUUAAUCUACAGAAACAAGAAUAAAUUCUAAAGUUUUACUUAAAUUUCGGUAAAGUCUCCCCUAUAACUAAACCUAACUCCUUGCAACUAAACUCAACAAACAGCAUCAACAACAAUCCAAAUUGGCCUCAAGCUCGCAACAAACUCACGAUACGUAUCCAGGGCCUAUACGAAACCUAAUCUAAAUUUAAAUCUCUAAUCUCC